rnacentral:rRNA from 1 species
AGAGUUUGAUCAUGGCUCAGGAUGAACGCUGGCGGUCUGCUUAACACAUGCAAGUCGAACGGAACUUUUCGGAGUUCAGUGGCGGACGGGUGAGUAACGCGUGAGAAUCUGCCUUCUGGUCGGGGACAACCACUGGAAACGGUGGCUAAUACCGGAUGAGCCUACGGGUAAAAGAUUUAUUGCCAGAAGAAGAGCUCGCGUCUGAUUAGCUAGUUGGUAGGGUAAGAGCCUACCAAGGCAUCGAUCAGUAGCUGGUCUGAGAGGAUGACCAGCCACACUGGGACUGAGACACGGCCCAGACUCCUACGGGAGGCAGCAGUGGGGAAUUUUCCGUAAUGGGCGAAAGCCUGACGGAGCAAGACCGCGUGAGGGAGGAAGGCUCUUGGGUUGUAAACCUCUUUUGUCAGGGAAGAAGAAAGUGACGGUACCUGACGAAUCAGCAUCGGCUAACUCCGUGCCAGCAGCCGCGGUAAUACGGAGGAUGCAAGCGUUAUCCGGAAUUAUUGGGCGUAAAGCGUCCGCAGGUGGCACUUCAAGUCUGUCGUCAAAGACCGGGGCUUAACCCUGGAAAGGCGAUGGAAACUGAAAGGCUAGAGAGAGGUAGGGGUAGAGGGAAUUCCCAGUGUAGCGGUGAAAUGCGUAGAGAUUGGGAAGAACAUCGGUGGCGAAAGCGCUCUACUGGACCUCAUCUGACACUCAGGGACGAAAGCUAGGGGAGCGAAUGGGAUUAGAUACCCCCGUAGUCC